UACAGAGGGGGCAAGCGUUGUUCGGAAUUACUGGGCGUAAAGGGCGCGUAGGCGGCCUGUUAAGUCGGACGUGAAAUCCCUCGGCUCAACCGGGGAACUGCGUCCGAUACUGGCGGGCUUGAAUUCGGGAGAGGGAUGUGGAAUUCCAGGUGUAGCGGUGAAAUGCGUAGAUAUCUGGAGGAACACCGAUGGCGAAGGCGGCAUCCUGGACCGACAUUGACGCUGAGGCGCGAAAGCGUGGGGAGCGAACAGG
rnacentral:rRNA from 1 species